ACAUUGAAACACCGGUUCUCAUACAAUCGCCGAAGUUAAGCAAACUUGAGCAUAGUCAGUACUUAGAUGGGUGACUGCUUUGAUAUUCCAGAUACUGU